rfam:Trichobilharzia regenti genome assembly, scaffold: TRE_scaffold0003641
AUACUGGUGAAGAGUCCCAAAAUAGGACAAAACAGCUGUCCAGUAU